GAUGAAGAACGCAGCAAAAUGCGAUAAGUAAUGUGAAUUGCAGAAUUCAGUGAAUCAUCGAAUCUUUGAACGCACAUUGCGCCCGCUGGUAUUCCGGCGGGCAUGCCUGUUCGAGCGUCAUUUCAACCCUCAAGCCCCCGGGUUUGGUGUUGGGGAUCGGCUCUGCCCUUCUGGGCGGUGCCGCCCCCGAAAUACAUUGGCGGUCUCGCUGCAGCCUCCAUUGCGUAGUAGCUAACACCUCGCAACUGGAACGCGGCGCGGCCAUGCCGUAAAACCCCAACUUCUGAAUGUUGACCUCGGAUCAGGUAGGAAGACCCGCUGAACUUAAGCAUAUCAAUAAGCGGAGGA
rnacentral:misc_RNA from 1 species